UACGUAGGAUCCAAGCGUUGUCCGGAUUUACUGGGUGUAAAGGGUGCGCAGGCGGACUUAUAAGUCAGAGGUGAAAUCUCACAGCUUAACUGUGAAACUGCCUUUGAUACUGUAGGUCUUGAAUUAGGGAGAGAAUUCGUGGAAUUCCGAGUGUAGCAGUGAAAUGUGUAGAUAUUCGGAAGAACACCAGUGGCGAAGGCAGCGAAUUGGCCCUAUAUUGACGCUCAGGCACGAAAGCAUGGGGAUCAAACAGG
rnacentral:rRNA from 1 species